CGGAGUGUAGUUCAAUUGGCUAGAAUACACGCUUUGGGAGCGUGGGGUUGUGGGUUCGAGCCCCGCCACUCCGA
rnacentral:tRNA from 1 species